AUGUAGGUACCUAUAUUGUAAUAUUGUACUGAUACGUGUACGGUUAUUAUGCCUACACAAAUUACGAAAAUCAAAUAUUUAUCGUGAAACGGCUCAGCGGCGGUCGUACAUUUUCCAAGGUGGCGGCUAAAGUGAAAGUGGAAAAACGCCGUACUAACAAUGCGUCUAUGUUGCAGUGUUUGUGAUAUUUUCCGAUCACUUU